AACGUAGGACACAAGCGUUAUCCGGAGUUACUGGGCGUAAAGGGCGCGUAGGCGGCGUGGCAAGUCACUUGUGAAAUCUCCGGGCUUAACUCGGAACGGCCAAGUGAAACUGCCAUGCUAGAGUGCAGAAGGGGCAAUCGGAAUUCUUGGUGUAGCGGUGAAAUGCGUAGAUAUCAAGAGGAACACCUGAGGUGAAGACGGGUUGCUGGGCUGACACUGACGCUGAGGCGCGAAAGCCAGGGGAGCAAACGGG
rnacentral:rRNA from 1 species